rnacentral:rRNA from 1 species
GACGAACGCUGGCGGCGUGCCUAAUACAUGCAAGUAGAACGCACAGUUUAUACCGUAGCUUGCUACACCAUAGACUGUGAGUUGCGAACGGGUGAGUAACGCGUAGGUAACCUGCCUGGUAGCGGGGGAUAACUAUUGGAAACGAUAGCUAAUACCGCAUAAUAUUAAUUAUUGCAUGAUAAUUAAUUGAAAGGUGCAAUUGCACCACUACCAGAUGGACCUGCGUUGUAUUAGCUAGUAGGUGAGGUAACGGCUCACCUAGGCGACGAUACAUAGCCGACCUGAGAGGGUGAUCGGCCACACUGGGACUGAGACACGGCCCAGACUCCUACGGGAGGCAGCAGUAGGGAAUCUUCGGCAAUGGACGAAAGUCUGACCGAGCAACGCCGCGUGAGUGAAGAAGGUUGUCGGAUCGUAAAGCUCGGUUGUAAGAGAAGAACGGGUGUGAGAGUGGAAAGUUCACACUGUGACGGUAUCUGACCAGAAAGGGACGGCUAACUACGUG